CCACCUUCAGGUCCCUGUUCGGGUGCCAAACUGCGGUGUGCCCGCACCUGCAGAGGGUCUACAACGGGAAGAAGUGGAGUGGGAU
rnacentral:miRNA from 1 species